GACGAACGCUGGCGGCGUGCUUAACACAUGCAAGUCGAACGGAAAGGCCCUGCUUUUGUGGGGUGCUCGAGUGGCGAACGGGUGAGUAACACGUGAGUAACCUGCCCUUGACUUUGGGAUAACUUCAGGAAACUGGGGCCAAUACCGGAUAGGAGCUCCUGCUGCAUGGUGGGGGUUGGAAAGUUUCGGCGGUUGGGGAUGGACUCGCGGCUUAUCAGCUUGUUGGUGGGGUAGUGGCUUACCAAGGCUUUGACGGGUAGCCGGCCUGAGAGGGUGACCGGCCACAUUGGGACUGAGAUACGGCCCAGACUCCUACGGGAGGCAGCAGUGGGGAAUAUUGCACAAUGGGCGGAAGCCUGAUGCAGCAACGCCGCGUGCGGGAUGAAGGCCUUCGGGUUGUAAACCGCUUUCGCCUGUGACGAAGCGUGAGUGACGGUAAUGGGUAAAGAAGCACCGGCUAACUACGUG
rnacentral:rRNA from 1 species